rnacentral:rRNA from 1 species
GACGAACGCUGGCGGCGUGCUUAACACAUGCAAGUCGAACGCUGAAGCUUGGUGCUUGCACUGGGUGGAUGAGUGGCGAACGGGUGAGUAAUACGUGAGUAACCUGCCCUUGACUCUGGGAUAAGCCUGGGAAACUGGGUCUAAUACUGGAUACGACAUGCCACUGCAUGGUGGUGUAUGGAAAGGGUUUUACUGGUUUUGGAUGGGCUCACGGCCUAUCAGCUUGUUGGUGGGGUAAUGGCCUACCAAGGCGACGACGGGUAGCCGGCCUGAGAGGGUGACCGGCCACACUGGGACUGAGACACGGCCCAGACUCCUACGGGAGGCAGCAGUGGGGAAUAUUGCACAAUGGGCGGAAGCCUGAUGCAGCGACGCCGCGUGAGGGAUGACGGCCUUCGGGUUGUAAACCUCUUUCAGCACGGAAGAAGCGAGAGUGACGGUACGUGCAGAAGAAGCGCCGGCUAACUACGUG